rnacentral:rRNA from 1 species
UUGGGGAAUUUUGGACAAUGGGCGAAAGCCUGAUCCAGCCAUGCCGCGUGCAGGAUGAAGGCCUUCGGGUUGUAAACUGCUUUUGUACGGAACGAAAAGACUCUGGUUAAUACCUGGGGUCCAUGACGGUACCGUAAGAAUAAGCACCGGCUAACUACGUGCCAGCAGCCGCGGUAAUACGUAGGGUGCAAGCGUUAAUCGGAAUUACUGGGCGUAAAGCGUGCGCAGGCGGUUAUAUAAGACAGAUGUGAAAUCCCCGGGCUCAACCGGGGAACUGCAUUUGUGACUGUAUAGCUAGAGUACGGCAGAGGGGGAUGGAAUUCCGCGUGUAGCAGUGAAAUGCGUAGAUAUGCGGAGGAACACCGAUGGCGAAGGCAAUCCCCUGGGCCUGUACUGACGCUCAUGCACGAAAGCGUGGGGAGCAAACAGGAUUAGAAACCCGUGUAGUCC